AGAUUAUAUACUGAUUUGAACGAUUCUUCAAACACAAGGUUCAAGAUGAGAAAAUCAACUUUAUUUGCGAUCCUAGUUAUCGUGUGCAUCUUGGGAAAUCUCGCAACGAUACAAGGAGUUCAUUUAAAUAGAGGUCGGAAAGGUAAAUCUCUGGACCAAACUGAGAAUGUUGUGUAUGCUGAUAUUGAUAGCAGAGAUACGGAUGCCGCAAAGGACAAUAUGAUUCACGAUGAUAAGUGAUGGAUGUCGUUUGAAUAUACUCGUAUUCACAAGUGUCAAUUUAUCGUAAUAGUUUCAUUUCUUUGUAUCAUGUCAUUGUACUGAAAUGAUAAUUGAUUCUGAACCAUAAUAUGUAAACAUAGUUUGGAUUAUUCCUCUUGUUCAAAUAAAAGCAUUUAAAAAACUUUA